UUUGAUAUGCUUAAGUUCAGCGGGUAUUCCUACCUGAUCCGAGGUCAACCUUGGUGCCGCCGGAGCGGGCUUGUUGGGGGGUUUAGAGGCAGGAGAGCCCGCCGGCUCCCGAUGCGAGGCUAAUGCUACUACGCAAAGGAAGGGCCUAACGGGUCCGCCACUGUAUUUCGGGGCCUGCCGUGGCAGAUCCCCAACGCCGGGCCACGAGGGCUCGAGGGUUGAAACGACGCUCGGACAGGCAUGCCUCCCAGGAUACUGGAAGGCGCCAUGUGCGUUCAAAGAUUCGAUGAUUCACUGAAUUCUGCAAUUCACAUUACAUAUCGCGUUUCGCUGCGUUCUUCAUCGAUGCUGGAGCCAAGAGAUCCGUUGUUAAAAGUUUUGACAGUUCGCUAAGAACACUCAGAAGUAUCGUCGGGUUCGAAAACAGAGAUUCUGAUGAGACCGGCGGGCGCCCGCGAGGGACGCCGCCGAAGCAACAGGUAUAAUGGUUCACAAAGGGUUAUGAGUGUAGUACUCGGUAAUGAUCCCUCCGCAGGCA
rnacentral:misc_RNA from 1 species